GAUGAACGCUGGCGGCGUGCCUAAUACAUGCAAGUCGAGCGAACGGACGAGAAGCUUGCUUCUCUGAUGUUAGCGGCGGACGGGUGAGUAACACGUGGAUAACCUACCUAUAAGACUAGGAUAACUUCGGGAAACCGUAGCUAAUACCGGAUAAUAUUUUGAACCGCAUGGUUCAAAAGUGAAAGACGGUCUUGCUGUCACUUAUAGAUGGAUCCGCGCUGCAUUAGCUAGUUGGUAAGGUAACGGCUUACCAAGGCAACGAUGCAUGGCCGACCUGAGAGGGUGAUCGGCCACACUGGAACUGAGACACGGUCCAGACUCCUACGGGAGGCAGCAGUAGGGAAUCUUCCGCAAUGGGCGAAAGCCUGACGGAGCAACGCCGCGUGAGUGAUGAAGGUCUUCGGAUCGUAAAACUCUGUUAUUAGGGAAGAACAUAUGUGUAAGUAACUGUGCACAUCUUGACGGUACCUAAUCAGAAAGCCACGGCUAACUACGUG
rnacentral:rRNA from 1 species